UACGUAGGUGGCGAGCGUUGUCCGGAUUUACUGGGUGUAAAGGGCGCGUAGGCGGGGCUGCAAGUCAGAUGUGAAAUCCAUGGGCUUAACCCAUGAACUGCAUUUGAAACUGUAGCUCUUGAGUGUCGGAGAGGUAGACGGAAUUCCUAGUGUAGCGGUGAAAUGCGUAGAUAUUAGGAGGAACACCAGUGGCGAAGGCGGUCUACUGGACGAUAACUGACGCUGAGGCGCGAAAGCGUGGGGAGCAAACAGG
rnacentral:rRNA from 1 species